GCGGGUAUAGCUCAGUGGUAGAGCGCAUGCUUAGCUUGCACGAGGUCCUGGGUUCAAUCCCCAGUACCUCCU
rnacentral:tRNA from 1 species